AACGAACGCUGGCGGCAUGCCUAACACAUGCAAGUCGAACGAGACCUUCGGGUCUAGUGGCGCACGGGUGCGUAACGCGUGGGAACCUGCCCUUAGGUUCGGAAUAACUCCCCGAAAGGGGUUCUAAUACCGGAUAAUGUCUUCGGACCAACGAUUUAUCGCCUUUGGAUGGGCCCGCGUUGGAUUAGCUAGUUGGUAGGGUAAAAGCCUACCAAGGCGACGAUCCAUAGCUGGUCUGAGAGGAUGAUCAGCCACACUGGGACUGAGACACGGCCCAGACUCCUACGGGAGGCAGCAGUGGGGAAUAUUGGACAAUGGGCGAAAGCCUGAUCCAGCAAUGCCGCGUGAGUGAUGAAGGCCUUAGGGUUGUAAAGCUCUUUUACCCGGGAUGAUAAUGACAGUACCGGGAGAAUAAGCUCCGGCUAACUCCGUG
rnacentral:rRNA from 1 species